UACGUGAGGGGCGACCGUUGUUCGGUGUCACUGGGCUUAAAGGGCGCGUAGGUGGCUGCGUAAGUAAGGUGUGAAAGCCCUCGGCUUACCCGGGGAAUUGCGCCUUAUACUGCGUGGCUUGAGGAUCUCAGGGGAAUGGGGAACUCCAGGUGUAGCGGUGAAAUGCGCAGAUAUCUGGGGGAAGGCCGGCGGCGAAGGCGCCAUUCUGGGAGAUUCCUGACACUGAGGCGCGAAAGCGUGGGGAGCAAACAGG
rnacentral:rRNA from 1 species